rnacentral:rRNA from 1 species
CCUACGGGAGGCAGCAGUGGGGAAUAUUGCACAAUGGGGGGAACCCUGAUGCAGCGACGCCGCGUGAGUGAAGAAGUAUUUCGGUAUGUAAAGCUCUAUCAGCAGGGAAGAACAUGACGGUACCUGACUAAGAAGCCCCGGCUAACUACGUGCCAGCAGCCGCGGUAAUACGUAGGGGGCAAGCGUUAUCCGGAUUUACUGGGUGUAAAGGGAGCGUAGACGGCAGCGCAAGUCUGAAGUGAAAUCCCGUGGCUUAACCGUGGGACUGCUUUGGAAACUGUGCAGCUAGAGUGCAGGAGAGGUAAGCGGAAUUCCUAGUGGAGCGGUGAAAUGCGUAGAUAUUAGGAGGAACACCAGUGGCGAAGGCGGCUUACUGGACAGUAACUGACGUUGAGGCUCGAAAGCGUGGGGAGCAAACAGGAUUAGAUACCCGAGUAGUC